rnacentral:piRNA from 1 species
UGAUCAACAGAAUGGUGAGGUGGAUGGUC